rnacentral:rRNA from 1 species
UACGGAGGGGGCUAGCGUUGCUCGGAAUCACUGGGCGUAAAGGGUGCGUAGGCGGGUUUUUAAGUCAGGGGUGAAAUCCCAGAGCUCAACUCUGGAACUGCCUUUGAUACUGUCGAUCUAGAGUAUGGAAGAGGUGAGUGGAAUUCCGAGUGUAGAGGUGAAAUUCGUAGAUAUUCGGAGGAACACCAGUGGCGAAGGCGGCUCACUGGUCCAUUACUGACGCUGAGGUGCGAAAGCGUGGGGAGCAAACAGG